rnacentral:rRNA from 1 species
AUUGAACGCUAGCGGCAGGCCUAACACAUGCAAGUCGAACGAGUGGCGGACGGGUGAGUAAUGUCUGGGAAACUGCCUGAUGGAGGGGGAUAACUACUGGAAACGGUAGCUAAUACCGCAUACCAUCGGAUGUGCCCAGAUGGGAUUAGCUAGUAGGUGGGGUAACGGCUCACCGAGGCGACGAUCCCUAGCUGGUCUGAGAGGAUGACCAGCCACACUGGAACUGAGACACGGUCCAGACUCCUACGGGAGGCAGCAGUGGGGAAUAUUGCACAAUGGGGGAAAGCCUGAUGCAGCCAUGCCGCGUGUAUGAAGAAGGCCUUAGGGUUGUAAAGUACUUUCAGCGGGGAGGCGUUACCCGCAGAAGAAGCACCGACUAACUCCGUGCCAGCAGCCGCGGUAAUUC